rnacentral:rRNA from 1 species
ACUCCUACGGGAGGCAGCAGGUAGGGAAUAUUGCGCGAAUGGGCGAAAGCCUGACGCAGCAACGCCGCGUGUGGGAUGACAGCUCUCGGGUUGUAAACCACUUUCAGUGAUGACGAAAAUGACGGUAAUCACAGAAGAGGUCCGGCCAACUACGUGCCAGCAGCCGCGGUAACACGUAGGGACCAAGCGUUGUCCGGAUUUAUUGGGCGUAAAGAGCUCGUAGGCUGUUGUGUAAGUCGGAUGUGAAAACUCAGGGCUCAACCCGGAGACGCCAUCCGAUACUGCACUGACUCGAGUCCGGUAGGGGAGCAUGGAAUUCCUGGUGUAGCGGGUGGAAUGCGCAGAUAUCAGGAGGAACACCAGUGGCGAAGGCGGUGCUCUGGGCCGGUACUGACGCCUGAGGAGCGAAAGCGUGGGGGAGCAAACAGGAUUAGAUACCCUGGUAGGCUCUGCU